rnacentral:rRNA from 1 species
UCGGAUGUAGUCUGNAACCCGACUACAUGAAGCUGGAAUCGCUAGUAAUCGCGGAUCAGAAUGCCGCGGUGAAUACGUUCCCGGGUCUUGUACACACCGCCCGUCACACCAUGGGAGUUGGGAAUACCCGAAGCCUGUGAGCUAACUUAUAAGAGGCAGCAGUCGAAGGUAGAAUCAAUGAUUGGGGUGAAGUCGUAACAAGGUAGC